UGCAUAUCAAAUAAGCGGAGGAAAAGAAACUAACAAGGAUUCCCCUAGUAACGGCGAGUGAACCGGGAAGAGCUCAAAUUUGAAAUCUGGCGUGCUCAGUGCGUCCGAGUUGUAAUCUAUAGAGUCGUUUUCCGUGCCGGACUGUGUCCAAGUCCCUUGGAACAGGGUAUCAAAGAGGGUGAUAAUCCCGUACUUGACACAAUGACCGGUGCUCUGUGAUACGUCUUCUACGAGUCGAGUUGUUUGGGAAUGCAGCUCAAAAUGGGUGGUGAGUUCCAUCUAAAGCUAAAUAUUGGCGAGAGACCGAUAGCGAACAAGUACCGUGAGGGAAAGAUGAAAAGCACUUUGGAAAGAGAGUUAAACAGUACGUGAAAUUGUUAAAAGGGAAACGAUUGAAGUCAGUCGUGACUGAGAGGCUCAGCCGGUUCUGCCGGUGUAUUCCCCUCAGUCGGGUCAACAUCAGUUUUGUUCGGUGGAUAAGGGCAGUUGGAAGGUGGCACCCUCGGGUGUGUUAUAGCCAGCUGUCGCAUACAUCGGAUGAGACUGAGGAAUGCAGCUCGCCUUUAUGGCCGGGGUUCGCCCACGUUCUAGCUUAUGAUGUUGACAUAAUGGCUUU
rnacentral:rRNA from 1 species